CCUACGGGAGGCAGCAGUAGGGAAUCUUCCGCAAUGGACGAAAGUCUGACGGAGCAACGCCGCGUGAACGAUGAAGGCCUUCGGGUCGUAAAGUUCUGUUGUUAGGGAAGAACAAGUGCUAGUUGAAUAAGCUGGCACCUUGACGGUACCUAACCAGAAAGCCACGACUAACUACGUGCCAGCAGCCGCGGUAAUACGUAGGUGGCAAGCGUUGUCCGGAAUUAUUGGGCGUAAAGCGCGCGCAGGCGGUUUCUUAAGUCUGAUGUGAAAGCCCCCGGCUCAACCGGGGAGGGUCAUUGGAAACUGGGAAACUUGAGUGCAGAAGAGGAAAGUGGAAUUCCAAGUGUAGCGGUGAAAUGCGUAGAGAUUUGGAGGAACACCAGUGGCGAAGGCGACUUUCUGGUCUGUAACUGACGCUGAGGCGCGAAAGCGUGGGGAGCAAACAGGAUUAGAUACCCUGGUAGUCCACGCUGUAAACGAUGAGUGCUAAGUGUUAGAGGGUUUCCGCCCUUUAGUGCUGAAGUUAACGCAUUAAGCACUCCGCCUGGGGAGUACGGUCGCGAAGACUGAAACUCAAAUGAAUUGAAACGG
rnacentral:rRNA from 1 species